rnacentral:tRNA from 1 species
GGUGGGAUGGCAGAGUGGACGAAUGCGGCGGUCUUGAAAACCGUUAUGGCGAAAGCCAUCGUGGGUUCGAAUCCUACUCCCACCGCCA